GACGAACCGAGCGAACGUUGUUCGGAAUCACUGGGCUUAAAGGGCGCGUAGGCGGGCUGUCAAGUUUGGGGUGAAAUCCCACGGCUCAACCGUGGAACUGCCUCAAAUACUGACGGUCUCGAGGGAGGUAGGGGCGAGCGGAACUGAUGGUGGAGCGGUGAAAUGCGUUGAUAUCAUCAGGAACUCCGGUGGCGAAGGCGGCUCGCUGGACCUCUUCUGACGCUGAGGCGCGAAAGCUAGGGGAGAAAACGGG
rnacentral:rRNA from 1 species